rnacentral:rRNA from 1 species
GACGAACGCUGGCGGCGUGCCUAAUACAUGCAAGUCGAGCGAAUCAACAGGAGCUUGCUCCUGUUGAUUAGCGGCGGACGGGUGAGUAACACGUGGGCAACCCGCCUGUAAGACUGGGAUAACACCGGGAAACCGGUGCUAAUACCGGAUAAUCUUUUUCCUCUCAUGAGGAAAAACUGAAAGUCGGUCUCGGCUGACACUUACAGAUGGGCCCGCGGCGCAUUAGCUAGUUGGUGAGGUAACGGCUCACCAAGGCGACGAUGCGUAGCCGACCUGAGAGGGUGAUCGGCCACACUGGGACUGAGACACGGCCCAGACUCCUACGGGAGGCAGCAGUAGGGAAUCUUCCACAAUGGACGAAAGUCUGAUGGAGCAACGCCGCGUGAGCGAUGAAGGCCUUCGGGUCGUAAAGCUCUGUUGUUAGGGAAGAACAAGUACCGGAGUAACUGCCGGUACCCUGACGGUACCUAACCAGAAAGCCACGGCUAACUACGUGCCAGCCGCCGCCGUAA